UGUAAAUCGUCAGAAUUCAUUACAUUGAUGU
rnacentral:piRNA from 1 species